UGUACUUUCCCUUCAUGACUUAUCAGACAUUCAAAAAUUCAGUAUUGAACUUUAUAGGUGUUGAUAAAGCUCUAGUGAACCAACACCGGAUCAUUUAACUCUUAUUUAUAAUUGGAUCUGCACUGCUAUUAGGCACAAUGUUGUUUAUCUUGAUCUUUAUCUUGGUCUUUGGGAUUGCUGUGAAAUGAGUAUUGAGUUGACUCAAAGCUCCUUCUUGUGCAAAACACUAGAGGUUUUGAAGGUUGUCAUCAAAUUUUAUUACUUGUUCUCCUCCUACAUCAGGCUGUUUCCCGAGUCUCAAGGUCCUAAUUGUCCAGGUAGAGGAUCUUGAUGAUUCAGUGGCAACUGCAAAGCUAUUUUCUCAUUGCCCUGUACUUGAAGAUUUGAAUAUAGAUGUAAUUCCAAAUGCUUAUGCUUCAAAUGUCAACAUAUCUGCACCUAGAUUGAAGGCCUUAACAAAAUCGUUGAACACUAACUAUAAUGAAAAGGACGGUGAUUUUGUCCGUUUUUAUAUUGAUGCUCCAAAUCUGGAAAAGUUAUCCAUUGCGGCUGCCAAUUCUCUCUUAUUUUUGUUGGAAAUUCAAAUCAAAUCAGGUUGUAAAUGGCAGCUGCUAGCUGUUAGUUUCUUUACAGGUUGUAUUCACACUUGCUGCAACUACAAAGACUAAAGUUUCCUCCAUGUGCCAGCUGAAAGUGUGUUCAAAGACAGCAGCUGUGUGCUGCCAUGUGAUGUGCUAGCCGAAACUAUGUUGAUUGCAAGCUGGAAAGAUAGCUGCACAUGUGUGCUAGACUGUCCAAAGUUCAUAUGAUCUGUUUGUGUGUGCUAUUGUGUUUAUUUUAUUAAAAGCACUUGAGUGGUCCUUCAUUUUCUGCUUGUAUAAAUAAGCCUCCCGUAAGGCUUUAGGAUGAGUCUCUGAUUUGUCAUUCCAUGUCAGAAGUGUUUGCAAAUUGUUUUAAAUAUAUCAAAGUGCAUUGUUUGCCGAAGCUUGUAGCUUCCCUCCUUUCUCUAUUUCUUUGUCCAAUUUUAUUGAGAGUGCAAAGUGAGAGGUGUGAUAGAGUUUGUAAACUUAUCACCCAUAUAUUUUGGUAUUGAGUUAGUAAACUUCUCAAUACCAACAAUUUUGGUUUGGAGAGUGAAAAAUCUCUCUAGUCGAAGAAACAGUUUAUUUCAGGAGUAUAGUUGAAUAUUCUUCCGCCAUUGAUGACUGUGCAACUAAGUUUCUAGCAGGAAUUUCUAAUGUUAGAAUCUAUCUCUUACGGUUUCAAUUUUUGAGGCUUCGUGUUUGCCUACUUUUGAAAAUCUGAUUCAACUCGAGCUGAAUUUUAGUGGUCGGAAGAUCAAAGAUACUGUCAUUCAGAGGCUUAUGCCACUCAUCAUCCAUUGGACAACAAAAUGGUUUGAGGAACAUGAGCAUAAAUGGAAUGUGAGCAAUAAUCCACCAGACAUCGUGCCUCUUUGUUUGUUGUCACAUCUCCAGACCAUCUCCAUAAGGUGUUUCAAGGGUCAGCGAGAUGAGAUGGAAGUUGCUAAAUACUUUUUGAAGAAUGGCAAAGUUUUAAAUAAGAUGACUAUUCAUACACUUCUCCUAGAACACAUAAAUUUUUGUGUUCGGAAGAUGAGAUGUGCAGGAAAAUCUCAACAUUUGAAAAGGGUUCAAUGACUUGUCAAGUUGAAUUUGUAAAGAUGGGUGAUAGAUACUAGAGGGGGUCAAAGGACGUGUUAUUGCUGCUAAACAAUUUUCUCUGUUGAUUGAAGAUGCUCUUUUUCUUGUG